GGGUUGUGAGGUUAAGCGACUAAGCGUACACGGUGGAUGCCCUGGCAGUCAGAGGCGAUGAAGGACGUGCUAAUCUGCGAUAAGCGCCGGUAAGGUGAUAUGAACCGUUAUAACCGGCGAUUUCCGAAUGGGGAAACCCAGUGUGACUCGUCACACUAUCAUUAACUGAAUCCAUAGGUUAAUGAGGCGAACCGGGGGAACUGAAACAUCUAAGUACCCCGAGGAAAAGAAAUCAACCGAGAUUCCCCCAGUAGCGGCGAGCGAACGGGGAGGAGCCCAGAGCCUGAAUCAGCAUGUGUGUUAGUGGAAGCGUCUGGAAAGGCGCGCGAUACAGGGUGACAGCCCCGUACACAAAAGCGCAUGUGUUGUGAGCUCGAUGAGUAGGGCGGGACACGUGGUAUCCUGUCUGAAUAUGGGGGGACCAUCCUCCAAGGCUAAAUACUCCUGACUGACCGAUAGUGAACCAGUACCGUGAGGGAAAGGCGAAAAGAACCCCGGCGAGGGGAGUGAAAAAGAACCUGAAACCGUGUACGUACAAGCAGUGGGAGCACCCUUCGGGGUGUGACUGCGUACCUUUUGUAUAAUGGGUCAGCGACUUAUAUUCUGUAGCAAGGUUAACCGAAUAGGGGAGCCGGAGGGAAACCGAGUCUUAACCGGGCGUUAAGUUGCAGGGUAUAGACCCGAAACCC
rnacentral:rRNA from 1 species